AAGACCUUGCACUUUUGGAGCGGCCGAUGUCUGAUUAGCUAGUUGGUGGGGUAAUGGCCUACCAAAGCUUCGAUCAGUAGCUGGUCUGAGAGGACGGCCAGCCACACUGGGACUGAGACGCGGCCCAGACUCCUACGGGAGGCAGCAGUGGGGAAUUUUGGACAAUGGGGGCAACCCUGAUCCAGCCAUGCCGCGUGAGUGAAGAAGGCCUUCGGGUUGUAAAGCUCUUUCAGCCGGAACGAAACGGUUACGGUUAAUACCCGUGAUUACUGACGGUACCGGAAGAAGAAGCACCGGCUAACUACGUGCCAGCAGCCGCGGUAAUACGUAGGGUGCGAGCGUUAAUCGGAAUUACUGGGCGUAAAGCGUGCGCAGGUGGUUUUGUAAGUCAGAUGUGAAAGCCCCGGGCUCAACCUGGGAACU
rnacentral:rRNA from 1 species